UUACAGGCAUGAGCCACCGUGCCUGGCCUAGAAUGUCCUUUCUUUUUGAAACCGAGUAAUAUUCCAUUAUCACCUUUCAGAGGAGAAGAGUUUUAAAGAAUCCUCUCUGUUCGACAGGGUUUUAAGAGAGCAGUUAACUACUGUAGAUAAAGAAACACUUCAAGGGGCAGCUAAACCAGAUGCUCACUUUAGGACUAUGCCCUGCGGGCAGCUUCUGCACUUCCUGCAGAGGAACACCAUCAUCGCCGCCGUCUCAGGGGUGGCCAUCCUCAUGGCCACCGUGCUGUUGCUGCUUGGGUUGGCCUCAUACAUCAGGAAGAAACAGCCAUCGGACAUGUAUUCCUGACCGCAGAAGGAAGAGCAGCUCCCCACAGCCCCUCAGUCCUGCCGACACUGCACUGAAUGCUCAGCUUGCCCCUAGAGCAAUGGGGUGGAGAUCUCCUCCGGCAAACACGACAUAUAAUAUUUUUAUAAUGAAUGGAAAGACAUGGUGGCAAAAUUCUGAAGAAAAAAAUUUCACAAAAUGUGCAAAAAAACAGAAACAGUUGAAGAGCAGCUCCGGCGUCUAAGCCAGGUCGUGGGGCAGUCAAACCAGGACUUGAAACCACAAUGCGAGCACAUUCUUCAUC
rnacentral:sRNA from 1 species